ACUGUACACAAAUAUACAUCAUAUUGCUACAGUAUAAUAUAGUGAUGUGCGAGUCUCGGCAUCAUCGAGAACGAGUCGAGACAAAAAAUUUCUCGAUCUCGUCUCGAGAUAAUUUUUUUGGCUCGGAAUUUUCGAGAAUUUUGUAAACAAGAAAUAGGUUAGGUAAUAUAAUAUAUUGAGGCAGCAUUUUGUGUUGCGUGUUGAAAUAAUUAACAUAUCUUCAACGUAACGUAGAUCGAAUAAAAUAAAAUAUACUUGUUACGAUAGUAUACACGAUAAAUUAUUAAAAAGUUAAAAACGAACAACUUCCGUUCACAAGUCACUACAUGAAACGGUAAACGUAAACAAUGAAUUGUGCUGUGGUUAUCACAUUAAAUUACAGAAGAAAAUGAUUAUUUUCCGUUAAUAAAACCAACAUUAAAGUUAAAAAUAAAUCAUUUUCGGUAUCAAUAUCAAGAGUAUCAACGUAAAACGGUACGGUAAAAAAUAAAAAUAUAAACAUGACUGCAGAAUUCUUCCGCGAUUGCAUUUUGUUUUAUGGCCUUAGGUUAUACACACGGCCAGCAGUAUAUAACAAGCAACAUGAUGUUUAAAUUGCGGUCCGUAUCGAUAGUGACAUAUCGAUAGUGGCGAAUGUUCAGACUUUCAUGAUCAAGUACCGUCCAUGGCUCAAGAAAACUGUAUAGACUAUGGAGUCAAAAACGUAUGUUUACAUACGACAGUAGGCAAAUAAACUUGAGUGUAAAGGUGAACUUUGGUUUGCAGUUUUAUUGAUUAAAAUCUGAGACAAAUCAUUAAAAAAAAAAAAAGGACUAACAAACUAUAGAAGAGGUCAAAUAUUAAUACAACAAUCUAUAAUUAAAUUUUGAAACAGACCAUGACGGCGUAAUACGAUUUGAUGUGACUACAGUUAAAUCAAGAAGCAGAGAGUCAUCAACUAGAUCCAGCAACAACUAGAAACCCAAACGGCUGAGAACUGCAGAUGGCUACACGCAGGAGCAGAGGGUCCGCAUCGAGAUUGGGUUACUACCCAUAGAAAAGUAAGGCUACGAGGAACCAAGGUUUGCUGUGAUCCCUGGCAGACAGCAGUAGAAGGAUCUCUACGAGAUCUCAUUGGCCGGCGUCAUAAUCAAACUACAGAACCCAUACACUCAGGAGGAGUGCAUUAACUACAUACCUUCUAAGAACUUCAGUACCACUUAUACCAAAUGACGUGUACUUGUAGGAUUUAGAGUUAGAUUCUUUGAUUGGCAAAGUAUGUUGAAAUUUGUUUAUUCUUGUUUACUGCAAAUUGCAUUUCACAUUUAAUGCAAAUUGCUCAAUGUCAUAAAUAGUUUAAAUAUAACCACCAGGAACAGAAAUUUUUUGUUUGAUAUAAUAAAUUUCAGUAGUAAUGAGAUUUUAAGAGUACAAACGCUACAAGCUAGUUGAAGCAUUCAUUUUUCUUUAAUCAAUGAUUUAAAAUUUAGUACUGUUGUUAUUAAUUUUCAUGUUCAGGAUCUAACAUAAAAUCAUAAAAUAGUUAAUUCCAAACUACUAUUUAUUUUUUUGUUACUGAUUAACAUAUAAAACAAUAUAAUUUUGAUUGUACUCAUGCUGUAUACUAUUUUUGGUCAUGAUUCAUGACAUAAUAUUAUACUGAGAAACGUAUACACAUAUGAAAGUAAAGUCUGGCAUCAUAUGGGUUUACAUUUAAAUAUUGGUAUCGCAAAUGGACAUUUACUUAAAUUAUGUUAAUUUUAUUCUAGCAAAGAACUUUAUGGAAGACAUGCAUUACAUUUUGAAAAGUGUAAAGUAACUUUGUACCCCAUUGUUACAUUCAGACGUUACCGCCAGGAGUACAUUAAUAACAACUUAUAACUAAGCACACCAAAAUAAUCAUUUUCCAACUAUGUAAUCUGCCAUUAGAACACUAACCUUUGUGUACUUUACAGAACUCAAGCAUGCCAAAACAACAUGGCUUCUCAUAGACAAAACAAAUUGUAGUGCCGGAAUAAGAAUAAUUAGUGUCCCAACAACAGUAAAGUAACUUAUUAAAGAAUCACUGUUUAGCUAUUACUAUGAACCACCAUUUGCUGAAUCAGCAUAAACGUUUUGGUGCACAACUAAUUUUUAAAUGUAUCUAUUAUGUUUACUUACUACAACAUCUUGGUAAUUUAAGCCAUACACCUGGGGGUUUAUCCUCAUUCGUACAAAGAGAUAGGUAUAGCUCAACCACUGCACAGCUUCAUCGACAUUCGAAAUUGUUCCCAAGGUGACCUAGAAACACACAUAUUGUAUAUAAAAACUAGUGUAACCAAGCACUACAUUACACUGAAUUGUAUUUAUUAUUGUAUAAAAUGUACAGUGGCUUUAGAACUAAAAAAUUAGAAACAAUGUUCAUGACAAAAUACAAGAGAGAGUUGCAAGGAGUAUAGAAUCAAUAUACCUAUACAUAUAUAGAAAGAAGUGGCAGAUAAAUAUUACAUCAAACUUCAGGAUUUUAGGGGGGAGCUAGAUGUAUUUCAUCCUGAUAUUAGACAUGGAUUGCAGAUAAACGUGAGAUGUACACCCAGAGCAACAGGAAAUAUUUUUAAAAUUUUUAGCUUACAAUCAAAUAUCAACACUCAUUUAACAAAGAAUUAGACUUAUACAAGUUCCUAGCUGCACAGAUGAAAGAUUGGUCACCUACGUGUCAGUAUAUAUGUUUACUGGCUACAAGCACCUAUUUACUGUAAAAUUCGUUAUUGCUCUUGCAUUUAAUGUCUGACUACCUUUAGUUUAUGGCAAAUAUUAACUUGUUACAGGCGACAAUAGUACAUGUCGAGCAGAUAAAAGACAUCCUGUCCCUUUCUGACCACAAAUUGCACUUGAUAGAAUUAUCGUAUAUUAUAAUUUAGACCAAUCGCUUUUCCCUGUUACAAGAAGCAGCCAAAGAAAGUAACUGACAAAAACAUAACUUUCACAAGCUUCUAAAUCCGCUAGGGGUGAGCCGAUCACCACAUUUGCCGAUCAUGCCGAUGCCAGAAAUGUGGUACCGAUCAUGCCGAUUUUUUUGACCGAUUAGUGCUUUUUUAAGUUGGUUGUAAAAUAUGCUCCGAAUUACUUAAGUUAAAUAAUUUUACUUGAAACUACUCAUUACUGAAUACCCUAAACAAAUAGGUUACAUAUAUUUAUAUGACAAACUUUUGAUUUAGACACUGAUUUUUAGUUGUUCCCAUAAACUAAUCUGGAAAUCUAUUAACCCCUUUAACAAAGUCUAUAACACACUGUUGACCAACUAAAAAAUCAUCGUCACACAAUUCGAAAAUGAAUGUGCUCCAAAUUACUUAAGUUAAAUAAUUUUACUUGAAACUACUCAUUACUGAAUACCCUAAACAAAUAGGUUACAUAUAUUUAUAUGACAAACUUUUGAUUUAGACACUGAUUAUUAGUUGUUCCCAUAAACUAAUCUGGAAAUCUAUUAAUCCCUUAAACAAAAUCUAUAACACACUGUUAACCAACUAAUCAUCAUCGUCACACCAUUCGAAAAUGAAUGUUUGUUUACAUUUUUCCGCUUUUUGGCGCGAUUUAAAAUGCUUUCUGCUUGAUAUUAAGACGCUGUUCCAACUAUAUGCCAGCGCCCCCAGCUGACGUGGUAUGGCCACUCACGUAAGGCUGUUCCAAACACCGCCACCGUUCGCCCAAUCAUCUGCGUGCUUUUGUAUUUAUCGGGUGUCGCUGUUCCAAGGUGACGUCAGUGCCCCGAGCGGUGUACGUAGGCCUUAAAACUUCGCCUGUUUGUCUUAUCUAUCCAAACAUUAUGCCGGAAAGGAAAAUAAACGCCGUAGUUUUACGUAUUUUUACAGUAUAUUUUUGAGUUUAACAUUAUAACGUGAGCGUGUGUAAGCUUUUGUUUGCUUUAGUGCAUUUAUGACUAAUGUUCAGUGGCGGCCAUGUUGCGGUGUUUGUUUAUCAGUGACGAGACAGUAUUUUACCCAGUUUUUAAAUUUCGCUUAAAAACACUGCGAUUUUGCGUUUUAAUAUUAAAUUUCGUGUAAAAACGCUGUGUUAUGGCGAUUUCGCGUUUAUCGUCGUUUAAUCGCGAUCGCGAAAAGAACAGGCCCCUAUGCAUGACUUAUUAAACAAUUUGGUGUGCUUUUGUUUACUAUUUUUUAACAAACGUACUUUUCAUGAAUAUGUUUAUUUUUUAAGAAUAACUUUACUUAAUUUUUUUUCUGAAGAAAAGAUUAAAACACGUAAGUAACGUAAGUGUUACUUUAAAACGUCAAGCAACAGUUCUGAAGCAAAAAAUAUGUCGGCGCCUUUUGUGUUACGUAGAGAUUUUUUUGUCUUCAGAAAGCGGUAAUCGGCAAAAAGGAUCGGCAUGCAUGAAGCCGAUCAUGCAUAUGACCAAAAUGACCAAAAUCGGCCGAUCUUAAUAAUCGGCAAUCGGCAUCGGCUCACCCCUAAAAUCCGCCAAUGACGACAAAUGUCCGCCACUCAACAGCACAGACCAGCAUUCGAUUCAACAAGCAAUCACAAUGAUGCCUGGAUGUGAUAAGACUCUUGAUAGCAGCCCUUAAGAGCGGUCCUCAGUAGUAACAUCACAGUUUUAGUUAAGUAGGGCACACUUGCACAACAAAGCACAGGCUUAUUUUUCCGGGGUUGAAAAAAAAAAAACCAAACCACCUAUGUUAUUUUUUGUUUAAACCAAGUUUAUUAGGUUUGAAACCAGAUUUUCUUAUUAUGUUAGUUAUUAUGGUUCUCAUCAUGAUCAAAUGAAAGCCAUACAACAUCCCACUUUCUGCCACUCAUGCUGAACCAGAAAAGUUAUAACAUCAAAGAACUGAAGUCCAGCAAAUCUGCACAUCUGAUGGGACUUAACCACAGAAAGGGUACUUUCCUCCCUGGAAGAGUAUUCUCAACAGAAUGGGUGUUUCCCAUGGAAUGGGGAUUUACAAUAGUCUGGGAUCUCCCACAGAAUAGGAAUUAACUAUUUAAUAUUUUUAAAUUUAGAGGAAUAUUUAGCUGGAUAUAAUUUACAACUUAAGUCAAAUAAUUUAAAUGAUAAGAUCAUGAUUAGUAUACAAUAUUUUGUUUAAGUAAACCACAAGCCACCUUAAUAUUAGCAAACUUGUGUUUUUAUUAGAGUGGAAUUAGAACUUUCAUUAAGAAAGUUAAGAUAUUCUAUUUAAAAAUUUAAUUUGGUUUUUUUUUUUUAUAAAAACCACUUGGUUUAAAUUGUGGUUUAAAUCAGCCAAGCCUUGCUACAAAGCUACAUAAAUACCUCUGCAUUGAGAUUGUCAGCCAGAAACUUGAUGAAGUUGCUCUCGAUGGGAAACUGGUUGGUGAGAAGCGACAAGUAAUGGCUCAGUUUGUCGUGACUCGUGAUGAUGAUGCCGUGGCCAGACUUGUCGAACUGCGGCCGCCCUGCACGGCCAAAUAUCUGAAGUACAUCCAAUAUUCCAAGGUCCACGAAGGACCCAUACUUGGCAUCAUAAAUCUCUGUUCCCUGUAACAAAAAAAAAUUUUCAUGCAUUCAUAAACUAGUAACAUUAAAGCAAACACUUGUAUUAUAUAUUGUGAAUGUAACCCAAUUGCUAUAUUAAGUGCUGCCCUACAGUGUUAGCUGGUGAAGAGCUGAAAUUUACCUAAGUAAAGGUUUUAUGGCAUGCCUUAGGAUUUCCAAUUUUUUUGACUUGUCAAUUACAAAACCGUAGUCACUUAAAAUUGUAGCUAUCAUUUCACAGUUAAAAUCAAGGUAGAAUUAUUUUUUUACCUAAAUUUUUGGUCUUCCUAACAUCAUUUACUACAAGUUAUGUUAUUUUUACUAAAACAUGAUUCAAUUUUUGUGACCCUGUUUUGCAAAAUGUUGGUUCAUACUCAUUUAUACAAUGUUUAUUCCUGUCAGUGUAAUAGCAUGCAUUCACGCUGUAAGUGUAAUUUUUCAACCUAACAUUUAUAGCUCGUCAGCAUUGCUGAAGGAUGCAAGUUUAAAUAUACAGCUGCAACAGAAUCAGAAAUAUUUUAAUUCUUUAGUAAAUGGUUUUUUUUUGUUCAAUGUCUUAACUUCCUUGGUUUAGUUUAUUGUGUAUUUCAGGCAAAUGAAUCAUGUAAGAAUUUCAUAAAAAUAUUCUAACAAAACAUUUCUCAAUAAACUUAUAAAAAACUUA